rnacentral:lncRNA from 1 species
UUUGUAUUUCAUUUAGAGACAGGGUCUCACUGAGUUUGCUUAGGGCCUUGCCCUUGCUGAGGCUGGCUUUUAACUUGCAAUCCUCCUGUCUCAGCCUUCCAAGUCGCUGGGAUUACAGAGGUGCACCACCGGCCUGGCUCCCAGUACUUUUUUUUUUUUUUUUCAGAAGCAGUGGAGCUUGAACCCAAGGCUUUGCACAUGCUAAGCACAUUAAACCACUGCCACUGAGCUGGGUCCCCAUCCCCUAGCGUAAGUUCUGGGUUUUUUUUUUUAAUAACUUUAUUUAUUUUGUGGUGUUGAGGAUUGAAUCCAGUUAUUCACACAUGCUAAGCAAAUGCUGUACCACUGAGCCACAAUCCCUGCUCCCUAGCAUAAAUUCUUUAUUAAUCAUAUGCUUUUGUCAACAAAAUGGAAAUUAAAUUUUUAAAAAAUUUCUUAUGGGGGCUGGGGAUGUGGCUCAAGUGGUAGCGCGCUCACCUGGCAUGCUUGCGGCCCGGGUUCGAUUCUCAGCACCACAUACAAACAAAGAUGUUGAGUCCGCCAAAAACUAAAAAAUAAAUAUUAAAAAAAUUCUCUCUGUCUCCCUCUCUCUUUAAAAAAAAAAAAAAAAAAAAAAUUUCUUUUGAUCCUAAGUCUCUAAAGUUCGUUAUUUUUCUGGUCUGAGUUUUUAGUUCCAUUAUUAUUAGUAAACAGCAUUAGAAAACAUACGGGAAAUGUCAAAUAAUUAUAAAUAAAAUUUGUUGGAUAGUUUUCACAAUGAGAUAGGACUGAUAAUUCUUUUCAAUUAAUAUGAUUGGUUAUAUAGCUAAACUAAAAAAUAGUGUUAAUAAUCAAAUCUAUUAUUUUUCAUUUUUAUUGAGGUAGCAUUCACAUACAUAAUGUGAUGAGAGAGUCUUUAAAUUGUGUUGUGUGCAUGUUGUAUUGUAUUAUUGUCACCUUGGUCAAGCUGGGUAUUACCCAAAAUUCCCUUUCAUAUAGUAUAAGUCUAGUUAGAGUUGGACAAGAAGAAACUUGUAGGCAUUUUGGAAGGUAGAAUUGAAGCAGGGCUAUUACUUUCUGAAACUCUGCAGUCAGAUGAGGUGAUGGGCAGAAGUAACUGGUAGGUUCCAGCUUGCACUCACUCUCCUUUGCUCUACUUCCAGGGCUGCUUCCUGUUUUUGACCCUAAUGACCAUCAAGGAUCCCAGAACCACCGCCAAGCCGCAGACCCACAGGGGUAACAGCUUCUCAAUCCUCUCUGACUUUACAACUCCAUGUCUUCAACUCAGGGAGUCUGUGGGGCUCCACUUGGGUUCCUCCUUCCUGUGCUGCAAAACGGAACCUUUUUCCGGGCAGUAAACUAGGACAAGUGCUGGGUUUGCAACCACAGUCAUGCCAUAAAACACUUCCGUCACAUCACCAUCAUUCUGAAAAACUCUGGGCUCCUUGCAGCCAAUCCUGAUCUUUGGCACACAUUGAUCUGCUUUCUAUCAUUGGAGGUUUGCCUUUUCUGGAAUUUCAUAUGAAUGAAAAAAUUGACAGAUAUUUUCUUAUGUUGUGUCUGGCUUCUAUCCUUUCCCAUAAGGCUUUUCUGUCAGUACUUUGUUUCUUUUUGUUGCAUAGUGUUCCAUUGUAUGGAUACACUGAAAUUUGUUUAUCCAUUUGAUGGACAUGUGGGUUGUUUCCAUUUUGGGCUGCUCUGGAUAUUGGCAUGCAAAUCUUUGGGGUAAACACUUAGAAAAAGAAUUGCUAGGUUGCACAGUGUUUGUUGAACCUUUUAAGAAACUGCUAAAAUUGCUAAACUGUUUUCCAAAGCAGUUAAGGUGUUUGUGUUCCCACUCACAGUGUAGAAGGUUCUGGCAUUCCACAUUCUUACCAGUGCACACAUACCUUGUAUCACUCUUUAUUGUAUUUCAUUGGUCUUGUGUUAUGUACAAAUAUGUAUUGUAUAGUGUUAACUUUCUUGUGCACUGAAAAACAAAAAAAAAAUUCAUGUGAGUCACUUCAUUGCCAUAUUUAUUUUAUUCCGGUGAGCUAAAACCAAACCACAGUAUCUCCGAGGUAUACCUGUACUUGGUAUUGACAAUCUUUUAAAUUUAGAUAUUCUAAUUUGCAGUAUUGGGGAUUGAAUCCAGAGGCUCUCUACCACUGAGCUUCAUCCCAGCCCUUUUAAAAUUCUUUUAACUUUGAGACAGGGUCUCCCGUGAAGUUGCCCAGGCUGGCCUGGGACUUGCAUUCCUGCCUUAGCCUCCAGUCGCUGUAUUACGGCACAUGCCUCUGUGCCCAGUUAGUGUUUGGUUUUGAUAAGUCCAGUAUAUUGAUUUUUCUUCUUUGUGUUCUUCAUGUCCUAAGAAAUCUUUGCUCACCCAAAUGUCACAAAGGUCAUCUAUGUUUUCCUCUAAAAAUGUUAUGGUUUUUAUUUUUAUACUUAUGUUAAUUUUUUUUGUUUGUUUGGUUUGGUUUUAGCUUUUGAUGAACCUUUAUUUUAUUUAUUUAUAUGCAGUGCUGAGAUUCAAACCCAGUGCCUCACAUGCUAGGCAAGCACUCUGCCACUGAGCCACAACCCCAGCCCUAAUGGUACAUUUGGAGUUUAUUUUUGUGUAUAGUGUCAGGUAGAUUGGUAUUCUUCGCCUCCAUCCAUAUAGAUACCAAGUUAUUCUAGCACCAUUUGUUGAAAGACUAUUUUUUCCCUGUUAAAUGCCUUGGCAUCUUUGUUGAAUCUCAGCUAUCCAUAUGUAUGUGACCCUAUUUCUAGCCUCUGUUUCAUAGAUUGUUACACUAAUACCAUACUGUCUUGAUUAGUGUAGCUACAGAGUAAGUACAGAAAUCAGUGCCAGUCCUCCAAACUUAGUUCUUAUCUUACAGAAUUAUUUUGGCUACUUUCAGUACUCUGCUUUCUUAUAUAAAUUGUCUUCAGUUUCUAAAAAAAAGGAAAAAAAAAGAAAAGAUUUGAUGGAAUUUUUCUUGGGACUUGGGAUUGCAUUGAAUCUUUAGAUUAAUUUGGGAAGAAUUAAUAUCUUAACAUGGAGUCUUCCCAACCCACAAAUAUGUUAUUUAUUUCUGUUCAUUUAUUUAUUUAUUUAUUUAUGUCCCAUUUAAUUUCUCCUAGCAAUUUUUUAAGCUUUUGGUAUACAGAUUAUACAAAUGUUUUGUUAAAUUUAUUCCUAAGGGGGCUAGGGAUGUGGCUCAAGCGGUAGCGCGCUCGCCUGGUAUGCGUGCGGCCUGGGUUCGAUCCUCAGCACCACAUACAAACAAAGAUGUUAUGUCCGCCAAAAAAACUAAAAAAUAAAUGUUAAAAUUCUCUCUCUCUCUCUCUUAAAAAAUAUUUAUAAAAAAAAUUUAUUCCUAAAUAUUUGAUUUUUAGUGCUAUUGAAAAUACUUUUAAAUUUCAAUUUUAAUUCUUCAUUUCUAGUAUAUAAAUGCAGUUUUUAUAUUGACUUUGUAUUCUGCAAUCUUGCUGAACUCGUUUAUUAGUUCUAAUAGCUUAUUUUUCUAGAUUUUUAAGAAUUUUUUACUUAAUCAUGUUUUCUGCAAGUAAAGACAGUUUUAUUUCUCUUUCCAAUCUGUGCUUGUUUCUUCCUUGCCUUAUUGCACUGAGUAAAAACUCCAACACAAUGUUGGGUGGAGGUGGUAAGAGCAAGCACCCUUAUCGUGUUCCCAGAUUUAAAGGGGAAACUUUCAGUCUUUUACCCAUUUCCAAUCAUGCUCCUUCUCCGUUUUGUUUUGUUUUGUUCUUUUCUUUUUGGGGGUGGUGUUGGUGGAGGUACCAGGGAUUGAACUGAGGGGCACUCGAUCACUGAGCCAUAUCCCAGACCUAUUUUGUAUUUUAUUUACAGACAGGGUCUCACUGAGUUGCUUAGCCCCUUGCUUUUGCUGAGGUUGGCUUUGAACUCGUGAGUCUCCUGCCUCAGCCUUCUGAGCCACUGGGAUUACAGACAUGUGCUACUGUACCCAUCUCACACUCCUUUAGUGUAUAGAUCUACAGCUCUGGCCAGCUCUCCUCCACAGCAAAAUGAACAACCGGAUGGACAGUUCAAAGUUCAACCCACAGGAAGGGAGGGUUUCCUUUGAACACUGUCCUCAGGACCUCCUCACGUAAUUUUUUUUGUACCAGGGAUUGAACCCAGAGGGCACUCGACCACUAAGCAACAUCCCCAUCUGUUUAUUUUUUUUAUUUUGAGACAGGGUCCAGCAAAGUUGUUCAGGGCUCACUAAGUCACUGAGGCUGGCUUUGAACUAGAGAUCCUCCUGCCUCAGCAUGCUGAGUUGCUGGAAUUACUGGUUUGUGCCACCUCACCCAGCUCUCAGGACCACUUUCCCAUUGGUGAUACCAAUAUAACACUGAAACAUCUGUAAGCAGGAACCUGACUUGAAUUUUUCCUUAGAUAAUGAGCUGGUCAUAGGGUACUCCCCUAGGAGAUUGUUGAGGCAGCAGGAGCCAAUGCUCUUGGAACUUCCUAUUUUCUGCAAAUGAAGACAUGAUUAAAAUUUAAAGACAAGAUUAUCAUUAAGAUUAAAUUAAAAUUAAAGACAUGAUUAAAACAGAGAAAACUCCAGUGAGUGUUCAUUACCUCCAAAAUCCAGGUCAUCUCUGUUUAGCCAGGCAGUUCAGAGCAAGGACCUGGUGGGCUGUCCCAUUCUAUAUAAUGAUGGGGUGCUGCUCGAGACACACAAUAUAUACCUUUUUUAAAAAUAUUAUUUUUUAGUUGUAGUUGAACACAACCAUUAUUUAUUUUAUGUUGUGCUGAGGAUUGAACUGAGGGCCACAUGUGCUAGGCGAGUGCUCUACCGCUGAGCCACAACCCCAGCCCCAAGAUUUACACCUUGAUGGAUCAAGUAAUACUAGGUUUGUCUUGGGCAGCUAGUAAUCUGUGGCCCUAAAACAAGUGUUCAGUCUCUGCUAGGGCCCGGUAAUGUUCUAGAAGCUGUAUCUCUAAAGAUACAGCAGUUCCCCCUUGCCUGCAGAGCAUAUGUUUCAAGACCCCCAGGGAUGCCUGAAAUCACAGAUGGUACCAACCAUUCUGGAAUUUUCUAUUUAGCAUUUUGGACCCCAGUUGAGCAAGAGUAACAAAGCAUAGAAAGCACAAGAAUGGAAUAAGCUGGAUGCGGGGAAUUGCAGAGCUGUCUGUAAAGCAUAGUGUUGUAUUUUUCCUAACUUGGUCCUGAUGUCUCUGGAGGAUGGCUAUACACUGUAGCCCACCCUGGCAGCUCCAGGGAUUUGGUCAUGGGUGUACACAGUGUGCCAUUCACAGCAUCCUUCUUUAUUCUGGUACACAGUCUAAUGCCUGUGUCUGGCCCGUGACCAGGUGUCUCUCCUACUGAAAACUUGUUUAUGCUGGCAGAUGCCCUUGUGACCAGUGUCCAGUAGUUUCCACCAAAAUUGCCCCUCUAGGGGUGGCCUGACUGGGAGGAGAGGUUUGGGUGUAUUGGUCAAGUGAGACACAGAGGAGGCAACACAAGGCACAUGGAAUGACAGAAGAGUGUGUUACUGUGGAAACCAGGGGCAAGAGAGUAGCAUGCUUCAGAGGGCCAGCAGGGAGGGGACACUCUCCAGGUCAUCUCUGUUUAGCCAGGCAGUUCAGAGCAAGAGACACAAGGUCCUGCAUCCUCAGGCCUCUCUUACGGUUCAUGGUUUUGCCAGGGUGGUUCUAAUUGGUGGACUCAGGGCAAGCAGAUACAAAUUCCAUGGAGUCACACUGUGACGAGCACAUGGUCACUGCAGGAGACCUGGAAAGUCUAUGGAGGGUAAAGGUCAGCAGGCCAGUUGAGCAGGUUGCAUCCAACUGUCCCAUCAGGAGGUGGUUGCAUAAGGCAGAUAUCUACUUCUGGUAUGAGAGAGUCUAAUAUAAUCAAAAUGGAUCUACGGUGGCCACAUAUAAAAAUUCACUGCAGGUGACAUAACUCUGCUUCAAAGUGCUAAGUGUCUACACAGUGAUGCCCUCAGCAUCAUAUCUAUGCUGAUAUUUCCAGCACCACCACUUCCACUGGCUCAUGGCCCAAGGGGCAGAGAAGAUUGGUCAACAGGCAGAACCAGUGACAAUGCCUUCUUUGGUUCUGGGCCCUGCUCAAAACUGACAGCCUUUUCUUCAGAGAAGAAUUCUACAGAGAAAAAUCUAGUGAGUGUUCAUUACCUUCAAAAUCCAAACCCACUGGACAUUGUGAAGUGUGUGUGUGUUGCUGGAAAUUGAACCUGGGGCCUCACAUGCCAGGCAAGUGCUCCACCACCAAGCUGUAUCCUGAGCUCCUCCCUGGACACUACCUAUUUCAUAGUGUACCUAUUUCUAAGCACUGCCAGAUGCAGCACCUUGAAAAAAUAGCUCAACAUGCCCCAGACCAUUAGACCCCUAGAAAUCUUAACUGAAUUUUUGUGUGAUCUCUUUCCCACCCUUUGGAACACGUUUGUUUUCUCAAGGUGGCUACAGUAAUUACUACUUACCAUCAGCAAGAUGCUGUGGAUAUAUCUGACCAAGGGCAUUGUGUGGAGCACAGAGAACAAGUUCUCUGAAGACUAGAUUAUGACAGAUAACUGAGGAGUUGAUAGGUGAAUGAGUAUUGUUCGCUCUGCCAGCUCAAAACAGCAAAUUGCUUUUGAUAGUCUUUAAUAGAAAUUAUUGAGGACAAAAGCCCUCAUCAGAUCAAUACCUGUAUGCUUCAUUCCAGGGAAUGCAUUGAUUUGCUCUGGCAAUGAAACCUCAUCUGGAACAGCUGCUGCAAUUAGAGUCACAAUUUAAUUAAGCUUAUGAUAACCCACUUCAUUGUCUGAGAUCCGGUCCGUCUUGGGUCAGCACCAGCCAGACAGGCCAAUUGAAUGGGAAUGCGGUAGGAGUCAUCGGCUCUGCAUUUCUCAGAUUUUAUUUGCGUAGUGGGGACAUUAAUCUCUGUGAUCUCUCCAGGAAUGCAGUUAUCUUUGGGUUAUGUUUUGGUAGUUAAAGGGUAAUGUUUAUAUGGUUGGUUUUCUUCCAUCAUUUAUUUUAAAUUUUUUUUUCCAAUUGAGUGCAAUUUAUAUGUUCUUUGAAACUUUACUUCAUCAUCUGUAAAAUUCAGAUGGUGAUGCCAGGUGUACCUGUGAUUGUGGGUCAUUUAAGGCUCAAAUGAGAUUAUGUAAGUUACAGUUCGAUGGAAACUGUAGAACCCUCUACAGGCUAUAAGGAAUAAUGACUAACUGUCAUUAACUCCUCCCCUCCCCACUUACAUAGAAAAAUUGAGAUUAUAGUCUUCAUGUUAUUAUUUCAAUCAAGGUUCUUUGUUUGCUUGUUUUGUUUUUGGUUGUUGUUUUUGCAAAUAUUUGGAAUGCACUCAAAGUGAUUUAUGCAUAGAUAGGAAACAGAUUUGAAAGAUAUAACAGUGUUUCAAAGAACUCCAAAUUUAUGGCCCAUAAAUAUACUUCAUGAGGUACUGGAACAAGGAAUUGGAAAGGCACUGGGAACUGUAAUGACCAUGAGAAAAACACUUCUCAGAUCUCUUAAGAAGAGACCAGACCUGGUGGUGCACACAUGCAAUCCCAGCAACUCGGGAGGCUGAGACAGGAGGAUCGCAAGUUCAAAGUCAGCCUCAGGAACUCAGUGAGGCCCUAAGCAACUCAGCAAGACCCUGAUUCUAAUAAAACAUAAAAAAGGGCUGGGGAUGUGGCUCAGUGGUUAAGCACCCCUGGAUUCAAUCCUUAGUACGAAAGACAGAGAGACAGAGACAGGGAGGGGCAGAAAGAUGCUCCCAGAACUUACACAAAGUAGUGGGUCAGGGUAACCUGGGGUGGUAGGAGUGUUGCUGCUGGGAGUAUUGCUGACAACAGUUUUCAGCUCUCUUCAGUAGCCCCCAAGGGAAGAGCACACCCUUGCCCAAGGUUGCACCCCCCUCCCUGGGAACAGUAUCUAUCUCAUGUCUGGCUGAACCUGGGGUUUUAGGACAACUCUGAAGUCCCUCCCAGUUCCAGAACUCUGCAGAGUCAGCUGAGGUCUUUGUCCUGACUAUGCAAUCUGACCCCCACACACCAAGCUCCUCUUCUCCCUCCUAGGUGUUGCCUGGAGCGCAUACCCAGUACCCUUCCUAGGUGCUGGUCUCCCGCUGCCCAGGGAGAUGACUUACCACACACUUCCAGCAGCCAGCAGCACAACCCGCCCUGUGCACUGUUCUCUGGAUGUCCCUCAGCAUAUGCCCUACCCGCCCUGGGCCCUGGGUUAGGGUUAGGGUUAGGGUCAUAGCCUGCAGGUUCUAGAUCCCAGACUAAAGACCAUGGUUCCUACUUUGGGGCCGUGGCAGAGAGUUAGGAGAAGCACCUGUUCUUGUCUUAGCAGCAUCAUGUGUAGAGAUCAUCCCCCAGGACAAGCUGGAGGGCCCAGAACAGCCGGUGGCUGUCAGCUUCCAGGUCUGUGUUCUGAUCUCUUUCUCCCAAGUACUUGAGUCUGAUGCAAUCCCUGGGCUCCAGUUACCAGCCAAUGCACAGCAGUAAGUGCUUUUCUUUCCUUCAGAGUGUGCAUUAGAUCCAGGCAUCUGUUAUUCAGAAUGGAAAGCGCUUCCAGUCUUCAUCAAGCCCCUCAGUAUGGGAAGCCUCUUUCCUCAUGGCAGGCAGGGUCAGGGUCAUCAUGUUCUACUUUAUGCUUUGAUACAGCCCUUGCUGAUCUGCCACUGCAACAUUUUUUUUUUUUUGGUACGGGGACUGAACCCAGGCACUCAACCAUUGAGUCACAUCCCCAGCCCUAUUUUGUAUUUUACUUAGAGACAGAGUCUCACUGAGUUGCUUAGUGCCUUUCUUUUGUUGAGGCUGGCUUGAAUUUGCAAUCCUCCUGCGUCAGCCUCCUGAGCUGCUGGGAUGACAGACAUGUGCCAUGGUGCCUGGCUGCAACUUACUUUUAAAUGGUCAUGCUUCUGUGGAUCAAGGACCUAGGAAUUAAACCAGAGACCUUGCACCUAAUGGAAGAAAAAGUAGGUCCAAAUCUCCAUCAUGUCAGAUUAGGCCCCAACUUUCUUAAUAAGACUCUUAUAGUGCAAGAAUUAAACCACGAAUCAUUAAAUGGGAUGGAUUUAAACUAAAAAGCUUCUUCUCAGCAAAAGAAACACUCAGUAAGGUGAAUAGAGAGCCUACAGAAUGGGAGCAAAUCUUUACCACAAGCACAUCAGAUAGAACACUAAUCUCUAGGAUAUAUAUAAAGUAUUCAAAAACCUUAACACCAAUAAAACAAAUAACCCAGUCAAUAAAUGGGCCAAGGAACUAAACAGACACUUCUCAGAAGAGGAUAUACAAUCAAUCAACAAACGUGAAAAAAUGUUCAACAUCUCUAGCAAUUAGAGAAAUGCAAAUCAAAACUACUCUAAGAUUUAAUCUCACUCCGGUCAGAAUGGCAGCUAUCAAGAAUACAAACAACAAUAAAUGUCGGCGAGGAUGUGGGGGAAAAGGCACAUUCAUACAUUGCUGGUAGAACUGCAAAAUGGUGCAGCCAAUCUGGAAAGCAGUAUGGAGAUUCCUUGGAAAACUGGGAAUGGACCCACCUUUAACCCAGCUAUCCCACUCCUUGGUUUAUACCCAGAGGACUUAAAAACAGCAUAUUACAGGGGCACAGCCACAUCAAUGUUUACAGCAGCACAAUCCACAAUAUCUAAAUUAUAGAACCAACCUAGAGGGGGCUGGGGAUGUGGCUCAAGCGGUAGCGUGCUCGCCUGGCAUGCGUGCGGCCCAGGUUCGAUCCUCAGCACCACAUACAAACAAAGAUGUUGUGUCUGCCGAAAACUAAAUAAAAUAAAUAUUUUAAAAAAAUAGAGCCAACCUAGAUGCCCUCCAGUAGAUGAAUGGAUAGGGAAACAUUGGCAUAUAUACACAAUGGAACAUUACUCAGCAUUAAAAGAGAAUAAAAUCAUGGCAUUUGCAGGUAAAUGGAUAAAGUUGGAGAAUAUAAUGCUAAGUGAAGCAAGCCAAUCCCAAAAAACCAAAGGCUGAAUGUUUUCUUUGAUAAGAGAAUGCUGAUCCAUACUGGGGAUGUGGGAUGGAGGAACUUUAGGGCUAAGGGGAGAGAGGGAAAUGAGGGGAAAGCGGGUAGGAAUGAUGGUGCAAUGAGUUAGACAUCAUUACCCUAAGUACAUGUUUGAAGACAUGAAUGGUUGUAAAAUAAUUUGUGUACAAUCAGUGACUUGAAAAAAUGUGCUCUGUUUGUAUAAUAUGAAAUGAAUUGCAUUCUGCCAUCAUGUAUAACAAAUUG